CCGGGCCUGGGGGGAGGAAUCGGCAACACAGGGCAGGUUUAGCUGGGCUGGGGGUGAGAGCAAGGGAGGGCGGGAAGCCAGCAGCUAGCUCCUUCUCUUCUCAGGCCCCCUCCCGGCUGCCCCUGCCCCACCACACCCCUUCCUGCCUCCUUUGCCCGCUUCCAGCUCCGACUGGCCAGCUACUUCUGCAGGGAGAGGAAAAGGAGAGCCCUUGGGUGUGCUGGGGAGGGGACAGACCCGAGGGCCCAUCUUGCUCUCCGCCGAGCGGGCUCUGCUCCUCUCUGUGAUGCUGGGCCCGUCAGACCAGUGGUUCUCAACUCAGGAUGAUUCUGGUCUCCUCUCCCCCUAUGCCAGAGGAUGUUCAGCAAUGUCCAGACGUUUCUGGUCAUUAUACUUUGGGGAGGCCGGGGGAGGUGCUACUGGCUGGCGGCUGGAGGCCAGAGCUCUGCUGAGUGCCCUGCAGUGCAUAGGAUGGCCCCACCACGGAGAACGACGUGGCCCCAAAUGUCACCAGUGCCCGGAUGGAGAAACUGCUUUAAACCAUGAGGACCGUAGGAGCUAGGGCAACCCCUCCAGAGAGACAGCAGGAGACGGAGACCAAGGAGGCUCGAAGUCUGGGGCCUCCGCCUUCCUUCCACCGCACCUGUGGGCUCUGCGGCCGAGUUAGCCGCAGCCCAGCUCCUCACCUCCACUCCCUCCUUUGGCCCGGUCCGCCCUCCUCUGGGAGAUCAGGAGGUAGCGCCUCCCACAGCAGGGGAAGCAGAGGGAGGCUCGCCAGGUAAACCGAGAGGGAAAAAGAGGCGCCAGCUGCCCCGCUCGGGGUUGGCCCUGCAGCACCCAUACCUGCGUCCACAUCGUUGGGCCACCCGCUGGACUGGCUGCUGCCAGCUGCUGGGGAGCGGCCUGUGCCGGGAUAGAAGACAUCAUCGACGGGGCUCUCCAUCUCGCUGUCAUCGAUGGACUUGGGGCGCUUGGUGGUGCUGGGGAAGAGGAUCAGGCGGGACAAGGGAAGAUUGACCAACUGCUUCCCGGCUCGCGCCGGUGACCCGCCGGGUGGGGAGCAGGCGCCUGACGAGGCACUCGCUACGUGCCUUCCCCUGAGACCAGACGGGCCCCAGAGUCCCUCGGGACCCCGCAGGUCUGCUCCUCCUCCUCGAACCCCUUCUCGGCCCGUGAUACCUUCAUCCGCAAAACCCCCCCUCAACUGCUUCUGUGCUCCCACCUUCUAUUUCCCAUCAGCCCCCAGGGCCAGGGCAAGUCGAGAGGCACUCGCCAGGGACGAAAAUGCCAAGGGGUGCUACGGAAUUCAGACAUCAGGGAUACUGUGUUCUUUUACGUUAAAAUGUCACUAACACGAGAACAUUGUAACAUCACAGUGCGAUACUUUAACCAAUAAAAAUCAAUUCCCAAAACCUCA